rnacentral:rRNA from 1 species
UACGUAGGGGGCAAGCGUUGUCCGGAUUUAUUGGGCGUAAAGAGCGUGUAGGCGGCCAGACAGGUCCGUUGUGAAAACUCGAGGCUCAACCUCGAGACGCCGAUGGAAACCGUUUGGCUAGAGUCCGGAAGAGGAGAGUGGAAUUCCUGGUGUAGCGGUGAAAUGCGUAGAUAUCGUAAGGAAGACCAGUGGCGAAGGCGGGUCUCUGGACAGUUCCUGACGCUGAGGCACGAAGGCCAGGGGAGCAAACGGG